rnacentral:rRNA from 1 species
UACAGAGGGGGCAAGCGUUGUUCGGAAUUACUGGGCGUAAAGGGCGCGUAGGCGGCCCGCUAAGUCGAACGUGAAAUCCCCGAGCUCAACUCGGGAACUGCGUCCGAUACUGGCGGGCUUGAAUCCGGGAGAGGGAUGCGGAAUUCCAGGUGUAGCGGUGAAAUGCGUAGAUAUCUGGAGGAACACCGGUGGCGAAGGCGGCAUCCUGGGCAGUUACUGACACUGAUGCGCGACAGCGUGGGGAGCAAACAGG